CCAGGGAUCCGGAAAACAGGGGCAUCAUCGAAAAAGGCAGAGAAUCGAGCAGUAUCCAAUGUGGCAGAAGCCACCAGAACCUUGAGUUCGGGGCGGAAUCGGGCAACAUCCUUGAUCAAUCCAAACAAAGGCUUUGGCCACCUAAUAGAAAUCACUUGCCAAAGGACCAUCAUGGCUUCCUCAAGGGUUUUAAUCCAGUUUCUGUGAAUCUGCAGAGGAAACUGGCCACAAAUCAAAAGGAUCCAGAAGUAGCAGGCCCCACUCUGUUCCUGAAGGAGAAAAAGAGCUUCAUCAGGAUGGGCUAGCAAAGUUGGGCUGACCCUAUCCUAGGUUAAAUGACAACAAAGGCUACUGUCAAAGUAAAAAACUGCUAACAUCUUCCUGGCUGCUGACACCUCAGAAAUCAAGAGCAUUCUGCAAUGGGAAGGCUUUGAUACCAAAUUUAAAGACUUAUUAGUUUCUACUCUUGAUCAGUGGCACAGACUGUCUCUUUGCUUCCAAUUCUACUUUCUUGGUUUAGAAGGUAAACAAUCUGGCCCACCUCUCCUCAUCCCAGCCUCAUCUCUUCUUUUGUAAUCCCUCAUGGAUCUGAAUUGGCACAUUUAUCCAGCUGGUCCUGAAAACAACUAGCAGGAGUCCAAAGGUCUUGCUGAUUCUGUGUAAAUUUCUCAGAAACUGAAGGCUGUGGGACACUUUCAAAACAUCUAACUUAAUAAUCCUCCUAUCUUUAAAAAGGAUGACAUUUUGGGGAAGGGAGGGAGAGGACUUCUGUAGUAUCACUUACACUGUCUUUUCUCUGCAAUAUCUUUAGACAUGCAA